GUCGGAGGAUGCAAGCGUUAUCCGGAAUGAUUGGGCGUAAAGCGUCCGCAGGUGGCAGUUCAAGUCUGCUGUCAAAGACCGGGGCUUAACUUCGGAAAGGCAGUGGAAACUGAACAGCUAGAGUAUGGUAGGGGCAGAGGGAAUUCCUGGUGCAGCGGUGAAAUGCGUAGAGAUCAGGAAGAACAUCGGUGGCGAAGGCGCUCUGCUGGACCAUAACUGACACUCAGGGACGAAAGCUAGGGGAGCGAAUGGG
rnacentral:rRNA from 1 species